rnacentral:rRNA from 1 species
UACAGAGGGUGCGAGCGUUAAUCGGAAUUACUGGGCGUAAAGCGCACGUAGGCGGCUUAGCAAGUCGGAAGUGAAAUCCCUCGGCUCAACCAAGGAAGUGCUUUCGAAACUGCUGAGCUUGAGUACUAAAGAGGAUCGCGGAAUUCCCGGUGUAGAGGUGAAAUGCGCAGAUAUCGGGAGGAACACCUAUGGCGAAGGCAGCUCGCUGGGACGUUACUGACGCUGAGACGCGAAAGCGUGGGGAGCAAACAGG